rnacentral:rRNA from 1 species
UACGUAGGUGACAAGCGUUGUCCGGAUUUUACUGGGCGUAAAGAGCGCGCAGGCGGUCGAUCAAGUCGAGUGUGAAAGCCCCCGGCUCAACUGGGGAGGGUCAUUCGAUACUGAUCGACUCGAAGGCAGGAGAGGGUAGUGGAAUUCCAGGUGUAGCGGUGAAAUGCGUAGAUAAUCUGGAGGAACACCGGUGGCGAAGGCGGCAUCCUGGACCGGCAUUGACGCUGAGGCGCGAAAGCCAGGGGAGCAAACGGG